rnacentral:rRNA from 1 species
CCUACGGGUGGCAGCAGUGGGGAAUAUUGCACAAUGGGGGGAACCCUGAUGCAGCAACGCCGCGUGAAGGAAGACGGUUUUCGGAUUGUAAACUUCUAUCAAUAGGGAAGAAAGAAAUGACGGUACCUAAAUAAGAAGCCCCGGCUAACUACGUGCCAGCAGCCGCGGUAAUACGUAGGGGGCAAGCGUUAUCCGGAUUUACUGGGGGUAAAGGGAGCGUAGACGGUGAGACAAGUCUGAAGUGAAAGCCCGGGGCUCAACCCCGGGACUGCUUUGGAAACUGCCUGACUGGAGUGCUGGAGAGGCAAGCGGAAUUCCUAGUGUAGCGGUGAAAUGCGUAGAUAUUAGGAAGAACACCAGUGGCGAAGGCGGCUUGCUGGACAGUAACUGACGUUGAGGCUCGAAAGCGUGGGGAGCAAACAGGAUUAGAUACCCCUGUAGUC